rnacentral:rRNA from 1 species
GGAUGGAUAGGCUCAGGUGCCGAUGAAGGUCGUGGCAAGCUGCGAUAAGCGCGGGGAAGCCGCACGCAGGCGUAGAUCCCGUGAUAACCGAAUAGGACCUCCACAUGCGUACCAAUAAGACGCAUGACUCCGUAAGGAGGGGGCACGCGCCGGACGGAAACAUCCAAGUAGGCGUAGGAAAAGAAAUCAACUGAGAUUCCCUUACUGUAACGGCGAGUAAACAGGGAAAAGACCAAACUGAAUCCUCUCGUGCAAACAAGAGGAGAUGUGGUGUAAGGACGCUCAAUAAAUUCUGCGAUGGGAAGCCAAAGUUCCUGGAAAGUUGCGCCAAAGAGGGUGAUAGCCCCGUAGGCAAAAACAUCCCAGAAGGAGAGCAGUUCCCGAAUAGUGGGGGUUGGAAAUCCCUCAUGAACCUGGGGCACAACGAGCUCCAAGUCUAAAUACAACCUGAGACCGAUAGCGCAAUAGUAACGUGAGUGAAAGCUGAAAAGUAACCCGCAAGGGUAGUGAAAAGUGCCUGAAAUGAGAUGGUUAUAGACGUUUGUGGUCCGAAAGCUAAGAGUCUCCUCGAAGGAAAUGCCGGCGACGGAAAAGUACGAGAGGAGAGGAGCGGGAUCACAAAAUCCGUCUUGAAACACGGGCCAGGGAGUUUGCUGUCGUGGCAAGCUUAAAGAGGUAAAAAAUCUGGAAGCAAAGAGAAAUCGACAAGGCCGCAGCUACGGCAAGGGCCGGCGUCUGAAAGGGCGCGGAGUCACGGCAGUAAGACCCGAAAUUGGACGAUCUACUCCUGAGCAGGCUGAAGCCCGGGGAAACUCGGGUGGAGGGCCGAACAAGUUCUGACGUGCAAUUCGAUUUGUUGACUUGGGAGUAGGGGCAAAAGACCAAUCUAGUCCAAUGAUAGCUGGUUCCCAACGAAGUGGAGCCUCAGGCCAGCCUGAUUGGAGGGCGCAUGUUAGGUAAAGCAAGGAUUGAUGGUACCGGGGGGUAAAAGCCUCGCCCGUCUGUCAAACUAUGAAUUAACAUGUCCCGAAGAAGAUCAGAGUCGGGCGUGCGUGGGUAAGCCACGUGGCCGAAAGGGGAAUAACCCAGACUAAGGUUAAGGACCCCAAAUCUCGAUUAAAUGUUAAAAUCGGAAUAGCGUCCUUAGACAAAGACAGUAAGGCGGUAAGCCUAGAAACAGCUAACCGCUAAGAAGUACGUAACAGUUUACUUACCGAGUCUUUGGGCCUAGAGAAUGGACGGGGCUAAAUCGAGUUCCGAGACCUUAGGGCACAUCCUGGUGAGGAUGUGAUCCGGUAGUUGGGCAACCCGGUCGGGCGGAAGCAGGGUAGAAGUGUCCUGUGGACCGGUCGGGUUAGAAGAUCCUGGCGGUAGUAGCAGCAAAGAGAGGUGAGAAUCCUCUCCGCCGAAAGGGCAAGGGUUUCACGGCAACGUUCGUCAGCCGUGAGUCAGUCGAUCCUAAGGGCACUCUUAACUGACGUGCUCGAAAGGGAAACAGGUUUAUAUUCCUGUACCGCGUAGAUACUCAAGAAGCGGUAACGCGAAGGAAAGUUUUUGACGCGUCUGGUAAAGCUCUGUAAGGCAAUCGCCUUAUUUAACUGUAUAAGCCUGGGAAGUACCGUGAUGGUGAGAACCAGGUAAAAAUAGGAAUAGGCUACCAAUAGUGGUGGCUAGGGCUGCAACCACAUGCCCAUGAAAAGAAAACGAUCAAGAAUUCUACGCGAUCGUACCCAGAACUGACACAGGUGUCCCAAGGUUAGAAGCCUAAGGCGUGUUCGGUAAAAGAUGGUGAGGGAAAUCGGCAAAUUCGCCCUGUACCUUCGGAAGAAAGGGUGCCUGUGGUCCUGAAAGGGAUCGCAGGUCGCAGUGACUAGGGAGAAGCAACUGUUUAAUUAAAACAUAGCAAACCGCAAGGGGGAAACCCUGUGAACGGUUUGUGAAUCCUGCUCAAUGCUGGUAAGUCAAUACGGAGUACAACCCGGAUAAGCUCCAGUGAAUAGCGGGAGUAACUAUGACUCUCUUAAGGUAGCCAAAUGCCUUGUCGGAUAAGUACCGACGUGCAUGAACGGAUCAAUGACUUCUCCACUGUCCCCACCGUCUAUCGAGUGAACCCACUAUCCAGCGAACAGUCUGGAAUCAACCAGGGGGAAGAGAAGACCCCGUGGAGUUUUACUGCAGCCUGCGCCUGUUUUACGGGGCGUGGUACAUAGCGUAGUCAGGAGCUCUGAACCCAGUUCUCCGGGACUGGGGAAUGCAACCAUGAAACACUGACUACCACGUCCGGUAAGACUUACUCCCCUUAGGGGGAGGACAAGUGUUGGUGGGCAGUUUUGCUGGGGCGGCAGGCUUUGAAAAGAUAUCGAAGCUGCCCAAAGGUCAGCUCAAGCGGGACAGGAACCCGCAUUAGAGUGCAAGAAUAAAAGCUGGCUUGAUAGGAAGCCUAACAAUGGGGCUUCCUGGAACGAAAGUUUGGUCUAGCGAUCUAUCAGAUGCUCUUGUUGAGCGCUGGUAGCGGCAGAAAAAUUACCCCGGGGGUAACAGAGUCGUCGCAGGCGAGAGCUCACACUCUUCCAAUUCUUUGUUAUCCGCUAAUAUUUAUAGAAAGAUCUAGGCUCACAAGUAACUGGAGGAGGAGUAUAUCGACCCUGCGGCUUGCUACCUCGAUGUCGGCUCUUCCUCUCCUGGCGGUGCACAAGCCGCCAAGGGUAGGGUUGUUCGCCCAUUAAAAGGGAACGUGAGCUGGGUUUAGACCGUCGUGAGACAGGUCGGAUUCUUUCUACUGGUUGUGCUGGGAAAUUGAGGGCAGGGCCGGGUCGGUACGAGAGGACCCCCCCGUCGGCGCCAAUAGUCUACCGGUUGUCUGACAAGGCAUCGCCGGGCAGCCACGCGCCAAUCGAUAACAGCUGAAAGCAUCUAAGCUGGAAGCGAAUCCCAAAACGAAUUUCCCACUCUGGCAAUC